rnacentral:rRNA from 1 species
UACGGAGGAUGCAAGCGUUAUCCGGAUUUAUUGGGUUUAAAGGGUGCGUAGGCUGUUCGUCAAGUCAGAGGUGAAAUACCACAGCUUAACUGUGGAACUGCCUUUGAUACUGGCGAGCUGGAAUACGGAUGCCGUGGGAGGAAUGAGUAGUGUAGCGGUGAAAUGCAUAGAUAUUACUCAGAACACCGAUUGCGAAGGCAUCUCACGAAUCCGUCAUUGACGCUGAGGCACGAAAGCGUGGGGAUCAAAC